ACCGCUCUAACGGGGUGCCGUCUGCUUUCGCGGAUGGCUGAGAGGUCGCAUUCCCGGCCAACCCGCUGAACCUGAUCCGGUUUGCACCGGCGGAGGGAUUAGAUGCUCCAUAAAC
rnacentral:ncRNA from 2 species